rnacentral:tRNA from 1 species
CCCCCUAUAGCUCAGCUGGUAGAGCAGUAGCCUUUUAAGCUAACGGUCGCAGGUUCGAGCCCUGCUGGGGGGA